rnacentral:rRNA from 1 species
UACAGAGGUCUCGAGCGUUAAUCGGAUUCAUUGGGCUUAAAGCGUGCGCAGGCGGUUUUGUAAGCCAGAUGUGAAAUCCCCGGGCUCAACCUGGGAAUGGCAUUUGGGACUGCAAGGCUUGAGUGCGGCAGAGGAGACUGGAAUUCCUGGUGUAGCAGUGAAAUGCGUAGAUAUCAGGAGGAAUACCGAUGGCGAAGGCAGGUCUCUGGGCUGACACUGACGCUCAUGCACGAAAGCGUGGGGAGCAAACAGG